GACGAACGCUGGCGGCGUGCUUAACACAUGCAAGUCGAACGAUGAAGCCGGAGCUUGCUCUAGUGAAUUAGUGGCGAACGGGUGAGUAACACGUGAGUAACCUGCCCUUGACUCUGGGAUAACUGCGGGAAACUGUAGCUAAUACCGGAUACGACCCUCGGAGGCAUCUCCUGGGGGUGGAAAGAAUUUCGGUCAAGGAUGGACUCGCGGCCUAUCAGCUAGUUGGUGAGGUAACGGCUCACCAAGGCUAUGACGGGUAGCUGGUCUGAGAGGAUGAUCAGCCACACUGGAACUGAGACACGGUCCAGACUCCUACGGGAGGCAGCAGUGAGGAAUUUUCCGCAAUGGGCGAAAGCCUGACGGAGCGACGCCGUGUGGGUGAUGAAGGCUUUCGGGUCUUAAAGCCCUGUCAGCGAUGAAGAUAUUGACGGUAAUCGCAGAGGAAGCCCCGGCUAACUACGUGCCAGCCGCCGCGGUAA
rnacentral:rRNA from 1 species